CCACCGGAAGUUAGACUGAAUGCGGAAGCGCUCAGAUGGUGUUGUGUUGUAUGAGAGUGUGUGUGUGUGAGAGAGUUUAGGAUCGUUUCUAUAAAAUAAGAAAGUUGUGUUGUGUUGGUUGAAUCAAUAAAAAGUAGGACACAGGUGAUCGCACACGCACACACACACACACACACAACAUGUCCUGAUGGAGAACAUCCCAACACGUCUGAGGUUCGCCAACAAAGUGGAAGAUGUGAAACUACGGAAGAGAAAGUCUCAGCUGUACUUGAAGGAAGAUGAAUGUCCACUGAACAACGGUGAGCUGAGAGCCAAAGUUGUUGCGUUUUGUGUUGCGUUCAGACUCAUCAACUGCUUCCUGGUUCAGACCAGCUUCGUCCCUGAUGAGUACUGGCAGUCUCUGGAGGUUUCCCAUCGUAUGGUCUUCAAAUAUCCUUUGGUUAAAAGGGCAGAAUUGUGUGACUGUAGAUUUUUAAUAGUGCAG